GACGAACGCUGGCGGCGUGCCUAAUACAUGCAAGUAGAACGCACAGUUUAUACCGUAGCUUGCUACACCAUAAACUGUGAGUUGCGAACGGGUGAGUAACGCGUAGGUAACCUGCCUGGUAGCGGGGGAUAACUAUUGGAAACGAUAGCUAAUACCGCAUAAUAUUGAUUAUUGCAUGAUAAUUGAUUGAAAGAUGCUAUUGCAUCACUACCAGAUGGACCUGCGUUGUAUUAGCUAGUAGGUGAGGUAACGGCUCACCUAGGCGACGAUACAUAGCCGACCUGAGGGGGUGAUCGGCCACACUGGGACUGGGACACGGCCCAGACUCCUACGGGAGGCAGCAGUAGGGAAUCUUCGGCAAUGGACGAAAGUCUGACCGAGCAACGCCGCGGGAGUGAAGAAGGUUUUCGGAUCGUAAAGCUCUGUUGUAAGAGAAGAACGGGUGUGAGAGUGGAAAGUUCACACUGUGACGGUAUCUUACCAGAAAGGGACGGCUAACUACGUG
rnacentral:rRNA from 1 species